rnacentral:rRNA from 1 species
GAUGAACGCUGGCGGCGUGCCUAACACAUGCAAGUCGAGCGAGAAGUUUGUAAGCCGAUCUUCGGAGAAGCGAGCAAGCGGAAAGCGGCGGACGGGUGAGUAACGCGUAGGCAACCUGCCCCAUACAGAGGGAUACCUUCGGGAAACCGGGAUUAAAACCUCAUAACGCCAUUGAGUCACAUGGUUUGAUGGCCAAAGAUUUAUCGGUAUGGGAUGGGCCUGCGUCUGAUUAGCUAGUUGGUGAGGUAACGGCUCACCAAGGCGACGAUCAGUAGCAGAACUGAGAGGUUCAUCUGCCACAUUGGAACUGAGACACGGUCCAAACUCCUACGGGUGGCAG